rnacentral:tRNA from 1 species
AGUAGUGUCAGCUAAAAUAAGCUAGUAGGCCCAUACCCUAACAAUGAAGGUGAAACCCCCUCCUCUACUA